GGUUUUAUAGAAACAUACCUAGGACACACAACAAAUAUUUGGUUAUAAAGGAUCCUUUUAAUAACUAGCAAAACUAAACACAUAAAUUUGGCUUAUAAUCUCAGACAAAGGCAUCAUACCAUUUUGAUCAGAAUUUUUUUUGCGAUUUCAUUUAUAAAUCCAAAUCAAUAGCUUUUUGUCAGGGUACUGAAAAUAGAGACUUUCCUGUGAUCCCCACAGUCAUUUUAAUUCUACAUUUAGGAAUAUAACCAACAUUGAUGAAUUUUCAUUGAGAAAUUAUUUUCUGGAGCAAGCAAUUUGAUCAAAAAAAUUAGCUUAAUUUUUUAUAUAUGUAAUUUAUUUCCAGUUUUUUUCAAAUUACUAAAUAUUGUUUUAAUCGGCUUAACUAAAUUAAUUGAUUCAAUCAUUAAAAAAAAUUUUUUUUAGAGGAGCCCGGGUGACUCAGUUGGUUAAGUGUCUGUGACUUCAGCUCUGGUCAUGAUCUCAGUUGUGAGUUUGGGCCCCGCGUCGGGCUUUGUGCUGACAGCUCAGAGCCUGAAACCUGCUUCGGAUUCUGUGUCUCUUCUCUUUCUCUCUACAUCUUCCCCGCUCACAUUCUGUCUCUCUCAAACAUUAAAAAAAAUUUUUUUUAAUUUUUUUUAUUUUAGAGAUUGAGGGGGCAGUGAGAGAGGGAGAGAGAGAGUCUUAAGCAGUCUCCAUGUUCAGCACAGAGGCCGCCAUGAGGCUUGAUCCCGCAAUCCUGGGAUCAUGACCCUAGCCAAAAACAAAAGUCAGAUGCUCAAGUGACUAAGCCACCCAGGUGCCCCCAAUUCAAUCAUUUUAAUGAACAUUUUAUGCAUUUACAGCUUUCCUCCUAAAUCUAAUUCUACCCAUUAUUAGCACUGAUAUUACAAAUGUUUUCUUUUGUGACUUAUUUCUGUCAAAAGUAUUUUCUGAGGUACAAUUUUGCAUAUAAAAAAUGUCAAUAUUUAAUCAUCAAUUUUUACUCAAUAACUAUCCAUUAUUAAAGAGCAAAGCACAGGAUCAAAAGGCUAUAUACAAUCUGGAAUCAAAAUGACAAAACUCUAUUUCCUGGGAUACUUGAUAGAACCAGUACACAUAGUUCAAGAAAAAUAUACCUGAAUUUUUCAGACUUGCUAUAAAUUGGCUUUAAUAAUGUCAACAUAACAUGCCCACAUAGACAGAGCUAUAUUACUCCUUUAUCUACUAUCAAGGAUAUUUUUAUGUCUUUGAGUCCUCUCACCAUUUGUUUAUGAGAUGUGAAGAAAAGCCUAACUUAAAUUACUUCCACACAUUAGUGGAAGUUUCUCUGUCAUUUUAUAGCAUAAAAAGAGCCUUUAGGACAUCCUUAGCCUCCUUUAAUUAUGAUUAAAAUUGAGUGGUUACUGUAGCUCACAUUUAGAAAUCAAUUCUAGGCAAAGAAAAUAAUAAAACGUAAGAUUUAUAAAAGCACAAAAUACAGAUCAGAAAAUGUUUAUUAUGUUUGAUACACCAGAUUUUUAACAUUGGGAAAUCAUUCCAUCUACUCCAAAGACCCAGGUUUUCAUUAUGUAGCCUAGAAACAUUUGUCAAAGAGAAGAAAAGUUACAGCACAUCUCAAAAAACUAAGACACAAAUAGUAUAUAGUAAGUGAUAACAAACACUUGGAAGAAAUCACUGAGCCACAGUACUUGAUUCCCUACGAGGUCAAAUUAAGAAAUGAAAGAUUAUAAAGCGGAAGAAAAGGAUAGAAGAACCCACUGAGAAAUAGAAAAUCAAAACUUAUUUUAAAAACUUAAAAGGCAGCUAUAUUUUCCCAUUUGAUCCAGUUUAAAAAGGAAAGGUCAGAUAGAAUAAAGGCUACCAAAGAGACUUUAGAAUCCUGUGACCAUAACUUGAGCCGAAUAAUAAUGUGGUAUCAUAUGAAUGGCCUUCUGCAAGAUGCAAGCCAAGUAUUUCUCAUACUAUGAACUUGAGAGAUAAUAACUGAGCAAUCUGCUAGGUUAAUAAGAUCGCAGAGUAGUAAAUCAUAGUAGUGGAACAUCCUAAACAGCCCCAUGGUACAGCAGACUCUUAGGAGCCGUCCAGGCUUACUCCUCCACUUUCCACCUUCAAAAAACAUCUGAAUGAACAGCUCAGAACAGGAAGUGAACAAGAAAUAAAAAUGAUUGCUAGCCAGGCAGUUAUACACCUAAGGUGGGCCUUUCAGGGCCAGAGUUUUCAUCCAAUCCCCUGAAAUCCCAAUAAUGCCCCCUUACUAGGUUACCCAUCCCUACUUUGAAACUGGCAUGACAGAAAAAAAAUCACAAACACUUACUGGGUGGAAAAAAAUUCUGAACUUCAGGCAACUGAACAAAAAUACUGUUUGGUGAUGAAAAUUUUAAUUAUUAAAAUAGCUUCUGGUUUUGGAAUUCUCUAUUUGGGAAGUUUAAAUAUAAUGCCAUUCUUAUAUUAAGAUGAAAAAUUUUUGUACCGUUUCUGAACACAAACAACAAAGGUAAAGUCACUUGGCACUGUACAUACAAGAAUAUUCCAACUUUAGUUUUUAGUCUUGUUUUAAUUUUAAAAUGCAUAGGUUUUAAAGUGUUCAGUUUACUUUGCAUAUUUCUUCUUAAAAUUACACCAUUUUACCUUAGGCUUCUAACAUUUUUUUAAUUUAUUUUUUUAUUUUUAAAAAAAUUUUUUUAAGGUUUAUUUAUUCUUGAGAGAGAGACAGAGUGCAAGCAGGGGAGAGGCAGAGAGAGAAGGAGACACAGAAUCCCGAGAAGGCUCCAGGCACCAAGCUGUCAGCACAGAGCCCGAUGUAGGGCUUGAACUCACAAACCGUGAGUUCGAAACAAAUAAAACAAAUAAACAUUAAACAAAUAAACAUUAAAAAAGAUUUUUUUUAAGUUGUUAAUUAUUAGAUCAAAUUUAGAAAACAAAAAGCUGGUAGUUUUCCCUUCUAUCCAUGUUGGUGCUCCACCAGCGAAAAGAGAGUUGGACACAGAGACACCUUAAAAUGCUUCGAGCUAAAGAUAGGGUCUUAUGUUCUCCUCAUAAUCAGCCUAUUAAUCUAAUUGGCCCUCUUUUCCCAAAACGACAUUUCAGUCUUUCUAGGAGGGCAGGAAAUUAUUAAGUGUAAAAAGUUAAGAGUUGUCGUAUUGCCCAGUGUUCUCCAGUUAGUAAGUAGGACCACGGGGUGUACUGUGGGAGAGGCAAACAUUGAUAGUUCCCAAUGGCUACUGCUGAAGAAAAUAUCCCAAAUUAUGUCUACCUUUUCUCCCCACAAAAAAAAAAAAAAAAAAAAAAGCUUAAAUAGUUAUCAGUAAAGAACAUAUACAGACUACUUUUUUUCCUCCUGAAAAUUAAAGCCAGCUUUCACAGUUAGUAAAAUAAUGGUGGGACAGCAUUAAGACAUUUUUAAGGAGAAAAAAAAUGUGUCCCUGACAGCAGAGUGGAAAUCAGCCUUAGUGCCCAGCCAAGAACAACAAGGAGAGAAAGUGAAUAAUUGACUCAGAAGCAACUAUCCUUAACAUACUGACAGCCUAUCCCAAUAUUUUGAGUUGUCUAAGAGUGCCAAAGAUGUAAUAGGAUACCAAAUUUGCUCUGGGAUAUAUCUGCCUUAAUGGUGUUUAAAAAUAAAGUGGGGUGGAGGAAAAUCAGUAGUCAGAUCAUAAGGACUGAAAGAACAAAUAUACAUAGACUGUAAGGAAAUCAGGAGAAACUGAAACUUUACCAUAUGCCAGCCACUAAAAGAAUCUCUUGGGGGGAAAAAAGGCCUUCUCGGUCCUAAGCCAAAUUAAUGAUCAUUAGCAAUGGAACAUAAUGUAUAAAAUUAUUUCCUCUUAGAACUUAAAUGACCAUAGUCCCAGUUUUCCCUGGACAGUCUUGGUUUAUUCCUUUUGUCCCACAUUGUAACAAUGCCUCCUUUCACUCUGAAAAGUAGCCCGGUUUGGACAAUUAUCUGAUCACUCUACCCAACUCUACCAGUUACCCCAAAACAUUUGAGUAAUCAUUUUUUCUAAAAAAAGUUUCAGGCGUGAGAAACUUUCAGUUUGAGGGGGAAAGGAACUAGUAUAGAAGAGAGAUGCUUCAAAAUACAAAAUACCUGACUCCAGUUUGGUUAUCAGUAGUGCUCUCAGAGCCACACUGGAAAACCAGGUCGUGGUAAGAAGGUCUUUGUGGAGGCAGUGGAAGUAAAGUCAUCUGAGGAGGGAAAGAGUUACUACUCCAGGUCAUUGCUGAAGGUUGCUCUAUAAACACUGUAAUCCUCCCAGUUAGCAUCUCAAUUGUUUUGCUGCAAGAGCCAAAUACCCUGAAAAAAGCUUGAGUGUUUCGGCUUAGGAAAUGCACCUCCAAAAAAGCAGGUCUUGGCUGUAGCAAGUGUUCUUGGUUUAAGAGAUCAAUCAGAGGAUCCAGUUCAUAGAAAAGAGCCUCUCUCUGAAGCCUAUGAUAGUCUGAAAAGUCAGUGGGUAAUAAAAGCUGGUGAGUUCUCAAAAAAUCUAAGAUGAAACUAAAUAAAACACCAUCUCUGUCCACAAAAAUCUGGCCACCAACCAUCUUGAAUUCUUGGUCUCUGCCAUCUAUCAUUCUUGUCAACCGAGAGGCAGGAAACUGCUUUAUGGUAGAAAAUCUUGUUGUGAAUAUCUUCCCUCCCACAUUCAAAGUGACUAGUUCCUGACUACUCAUUCUUUUCUUGCUUCAAACUAGAGGCUACAAACCAUCAGCCACAGACUUAGAAACUUGUAAAUCAACUUCUAACCAUAAGUGUUGCUAGUUAUAUAUGAUCAAGAAAUGGAGGGGAGGGGAAAAUAACAAAAAAACAGAGACCUAGAUUCCCAGGUAACUACUGUAAAGCAAAUAUUGUAUCCAUAGCUGUGUUUGCAAAUUUGAGUUGCUUGGGAACUUGCAGUAUACAAAAUGAAAACGCAGCAGUUGAGGUACUGAAUUGUUUAAGAAAAACUGCCUUGGGGAGUGUGGUUGGCUCAGUUAAGUGUCCAACUUUGGCUCAGGUCACAAUCUCACAGUUCAUGAGUUCAAACCCCACAUCGGGCUCUGUGCUGACAGCUUGGAGCCUGGAGCCUGCUUCGGAUUCUGUGUCUCCUUCUCUCUCUGCCCCUCCCCCCACUUGCACUCUGUCUCUGUCUCUCAAAAAUAAACAUUAAAAAAAAUUUUUUUAAACUGCCAAUAUUUCCAAGGUUAGAUGUUAAAUGGAUCCUGUUCCUGUAUUGCAUAAAAAAUUCUCCAUGAAAACCUGUUGUAAAUCUCUAUUUAAACACACACACACACACACACACAUAUACACAUACAUACAUACACACAUAUAUACACUGGGAGCAGAAAAGCAACCCCUGCCGGGUUCCCCGGACCACUUAUCUAUGAUGAGUCCUCAUAGCAGAGGUAAGAUUUACAGUGAAACAUUUUUAUAAUUUAUGAACCCUUUAGCAAUUUUGGCUAAAUCAUGCAUUGUCAGUUAUGGUUGAGGCAGCCAUUACCUCAACCAGCAGCUUAAUUUGACUCUUUUCCUCAUAGCUGGAUUCUUCUGUACUUUCAAGUUAGUUGGCCCUUUUUUUUUUUUCUUGUCCCCACUUGUGUUACCUUCUCUCAACCAAAUUAAAAGACAGGGUAGGGGUGCCUCGGUGGCUCAGUCAAUUAAGCAUCCAACUCUUUAUUUCGGUUCAGAUCAUGAUCUCAUGGUUCAUAGGAUGGAACCUCAUGUUGGGCUGACAACACAGAGCCUGCUUGGGAUUCCCUCUCCCCCUCUCUCUUUACCCCUCCCCUGCAUGCACACUCUUUCUCUCUCAAAAUAAAUAAACUUAAAAAAAUAAAAGGGUAAAGACACUCUGCUUUCCAAAGAAUGUUGUUUCAUGACAGAAAUAAGGUAGACUCGAGAGCAGUUCUAAGAUGAGUUCUAAGAUGAGCAGUUCUUGUCUUCAUCUGAAUUGUAAGCAAGAGGAGAAAAUUAAGUAUUUUUAUUCUGUGGGAGAUGAUAGGGCAUCUUUAUCUCAUGUAAGCAGAUAGGGCAAAAUUAGUGUUUAGCUGAUUACUUUGCACUUUAUAAUAACUGACAGAAUCCUCCAUCUAUUGGCAAAUUAAUCUUACUACUCUUCAAAAAGAUACUAAGCAAGUGGAUUGGUUUAGUUGUCCUGUUGCCAUGAUACUUGGGAACAACAACACAACACUUGGCUGCCAGUAAAAAGGCUUUCCCAUUUCCUGUUCUUGCCAUGUGUUAGACUUUUUUUUGUACCUACCACAGCCACCUAACACUUCUGUAGUUUAUCACCAAAGGAAUUUACAAAACCUAAGGAGAACAAGGCAAGCUGAAAUCAUCACCCUCCUAAAAACGUAAACUGAUCCCAAGAAAAUGCCACCUUUUGUUUACCUGAGAUUUACAUUUUAGCAAAAAACUAAAAUUUAGAAAUCCAAAUCUAGAAAAAUUUGGAAAUCCAAUCCACUCAUAUCUUUUCCUUUUUUAAAAGAAUGUUCAGUCUCAAAAAGAGUUGCUUUACACGAGUAGUCUUUAUUACAUGCUUAAAUGAACAAUCACUGUUAUACUACCUCAUUAAUACAACAUUAGAUCAUGCACUUUCACCUCCCCUUUUUCCACAGCAUCAACACAACUGAUAUUGGAGGUAGGAGGUGUAUUUCAAAAGCACUCUUUAAAAAGGAAGGAGGGUUCAGGACUGUACUAUUAAAUUUCACAUUUACCUUUAUGCUAACUCAUUUGAACAACAUAUAUAGGACAUUAUUUUUGAAAGGAAUACUUUGGGCAGGGAAAUACUUCAUUAAAAUCUUGACCAAAUCUGAACUACCACUCAGCUCUUUAACAAAUUUCUAACAAAAGACAGAGAACUAAAUAGUUGCAACAGAUUUUAUAAUAGUUUAUAUUUGCACACAAAUUCUGCCACAUUGUUCAGCACCACCAAAGUAAAAUUCUUAAAUCUUUCACUGAAAAUGAAAAAUCCAUCUGUCACCUGUUCCCAAUAAAACACUGAUUGUUCUACAAAAUCAGCUGAUUUAGCCAGAUAGGAAUUGAAGUUGGAGAGGCAGUCUUUCCAAGUUGUGAAUUCAUCAAAUAAAGACCCUUCUAGGAAUAUGGUGGGACCAAAGAAAAUGAGAAGGCUGAGCAGAAUGACUACCACAAAUAACUGAGAAAAGCUCCAGGGAAUCUUACUAACGAACGUGCCAGCAUCUUGAGGCAAAGAAAGUUUAUCCACAUCUACUAGUUUUAUGUCUUCCCACUGACUGGUAUCAAAGUUCUUCAUUAAAGGGCUUGUGGGCAAAUUCGAGGGAGGUAAAGGAGUUUCCUUGAUUACUUUUAUUUUCUCCCUGAACUCCUGCAUCUGUUGCAGAAAUAUGAUGGGUUCUGACACGUCUUUGAAAGCCUCAGCAAUGUUAAAGGCCAUUCGUUGUUCCUGCAAGAUGGUGUUGAGUUUGUUGAUCUCUGGGUCAUAGGCUUGCAUAACUGCCAGUUUCAUGGUCUCAAAGUCAGACAGGAUUUCAUUCUUCUUUUGAUCUAAUGUAUGUUGUAACUUCUCAAAAAACUCCUUCACUUUAUCUGAAUCUUUAGUCAGUAACUGUAGAGAUUUCCUUUUGCUAGUUUCCAAGGUAUCCAAGCGAGAAAGAGCAUCUCCCCGACGCCAGGUCUCAAAGCUCUGGAAGAGGGACUCAAAGGCAUCUCUUUCCUGAGCAUAGGCAUCUUCAAUAGAACAGAAGACAUGCUUGGUGUGGUCACCACGAGUAGCACAGAUCCCGCAAAUCAGUUGCAUAUCAGUCAGGCAGAAAAUGUUGAGGGGUUGCCCCAAGUGUCCUUUGCACACAGGCAUUUUGGGAGAGAUCUUGAUCUUGUUAUACUUUUCCACAAUACCCUUCAGGGAGUAAUUGACCUGCAGGCUAUUGACUCCAGUAGCUGAAGUUUCCUUACGGCAUGUAGGGCACUUGAAUGGAGAUGAUCUCCACAACGAAUUCCGCACGGUCCCCUCUAAGAUCCCUUCUAAGCAUUUUUUGCAAAAGUUAUGCGAGCAAGGCAAAACUCGAGGAUCAUCAAACAGACUGCAACAAAUUGGGCACGUGAGAUCUUCUUCAAGCAGCUCCAUCACAUCCUACCAUAAAGAAAGAAACAUUUUACUCCAGUAAUCCCCUCCAUUCAGACUAUCUACUAAUCAGAAAUUAUCUUUACAGGCAUUAAAAAUGAUCUCUCACUGAAAUAACCAGGCAAACAAAGGAAAUAAGUGAGAAAUUUGGGAAGGGAAUGCACACCAAAGCAGAUUUAAUCUGCUGGGACUAGAACACACUCCUUAUUAGCAGGGCUCCCUGUACACAAGGCCUUUGUGUGGGCUUUCCAACAACAGUCUUUGGCUGAGAUAGGGUUAGGUCUAGGACAACUGCAAGUUGAGCCAGCAGGACCCAACUGAUUGUUUUAAAACAGAGAGCUGACUACUAGCUGUCAGAAACAAAGCUACUCAGUGUCUGAAUAGAAUGAGCUCUUUAGUCUGGGCCCACAAUUAUAAAAUGGUAUGCUAUUCAAAAGAAAGAAGCACAGAAAUACAAAUUCAAGCAUGCACUCUCGUGCAGGCUUUUAUUAAAAACUAGCAUAUUUUUCUAUUUCAAAUGCAAGAUUACAAUUAUUAAAAUCCUAAGUAAAAGCAUAAGGCAAGAGUUGCAAUUAAUUCUUCAGAAAAUUAAAUGAGUUUUUUUUAAAACCACCAGAACCAUCUAGAGCAUCAAUUCUCAAAAUGUAGACAGAAAUCUGAUGUCCCUAAGACUCCUUCAAGUCAUUCAUGAAGGUCAAUACUUUAUUCACAAUAAUAUUGAGAACAUAUUUGCUUUGGGCACCAUGUUGACAAAUGCACCGUAAAAGCAAUGGUGAGGAGACACUGCUAAAGCCUCAGCAGGAAUCAAACAAGGCAAAAGGUACAAGUUACUGAAUCCUUCAUUACCACACACCCACAGUCUAAGUGGGGGUAGCCAAUUUCAUUUAAGAAUGUUCUUUAUGAAGCAGCAACAAUUAUUCAUUUUAUUAAAUCUUGAUCCUUGUGUAUGUGCUUCUUUAAUAUUUUGGGUGACAAAAUAGGAAGUAAAGAAUUUCUGCUGCAUCCAACAGAUACUGUCUGGAGAAAAAGCAGUUAGUUACAUGAUUGAGUCACAAUCUGAACCAGCUGCUUUUUUUGUGGAACACCAUUUUUACUUGAAAGAAUGAAUGGCAAACUGGCUAUUUAGACUUAGGUAAAAGCAGACAUUUUCUUGAAAAUGAACAAAAUAAGCCCUUCAAGAAAAAUAAAUGAUAGUAUUUCUUGCCAAUGAUAAAAAUUAAGUUUUUGAGUGAACAUUAGAAUUUUGGAAAACAUUUUUGCCACUUAAGAGCUUGACAGCUUCCCAUUAAUUAAAGACUUUGUAAUGAAAUGGUGAUUUUAAUGAAUGUUGGCUUUUAUCUUUUUUAGUGGGGAGAUUAUUGUAUAAUGAAAUAUGUUAUUUGGAGAUCUGCAUAAUACAAUAAACUAAUUUGUUCAAAUGACUAAUGCAUGUUAUAAAUCGUGCUUGGAUAAAAGAUCAAAAGACCAAUACGUUGAAAAAUAUGAUUUCAGAUUCCAUAUUGCAACAUUUAAGAAACUACCAGUUGUUGAGUUUAACAAAGUAUCAAAGAAGAUCCGUAAUUAUCAGAAAAGGCUAUUAAAAUAUUCUUCCCUUCACCAACUACGUAUCUGUGCAAGGUCAGAUUAUGAUCUUUGUAUAUUUCAAAAAAAAAAAGAAAAAACCCAUAACUUAUUCUAACAGGUGUAAUGAAGGGACAGAUAAAAGACUUUAUUUGUAAUCUAUUAAACAGCAAUUCAUUCAAGGGAUCUAUAAAUAUGUAGGGGCGCCUGGGUGGCUCAGUCGGUUGAGCAUCCGACUUCAGCUCAGGUCAUGAUCUCACGGUUCCUGGGUUCGAGCCCCGCCUCGGGCUCUGUGCUGACAGCUCAGAGCCCGGAGCCUGUUUCAGAUUCUGCGUCUCCCUCUCUCUCUGCCCCUCCCCAGCUCAUGUUCUCUCUCUUUCAAAAAUAAAUAAACACUAAAAACAAUUUUUUUAAUUAAAAAAAGAUCUAUAAAUAUGUAAAGCAAUGCCAAUUUUCUCACAACUUAUUUAGAAAAUGUUAUUUUUCACAAAUUAUGUUAAUAUAUAACAGGUUUAUGAUUGUUAUUUUAAAUGAGUAUCUUAAAAUUUUUGUUUUAAUUUCCAAUACAAUAAAUGGCUAUAUAAAGUACAUAUGUAAACAAAAGCUCCUGGGAUCCUCAGUUUUUAAGACUGUAAAGUGGGGUCCUGAAAAUAAAAAAUUUCGAGAUCCCUGGUCUAGAGAAUACCAUUUCUCAGUUCAAGUUUUAUUAUUUUAAAAUGGACAUCUUAAAACUUCUAUCCCUAAAGUUUUAAAACCAAAUACAGUGCUAAAUAUGUCCUCGUUCAGCUUACUGAGGAACACAUAUAUAUGUCACAUUACCACCAAACUAAUAAACAGAAUAGGGCCUAAUAAUAAUCCUUAUAAUAAAUAAUUAAAUAAUUUUUAACAGUAAUUUUAAGAGUCACAAUCAGAGGGACGCCUGGGUGAUUCAGUCGGUUAAGCAUCUGACUCAUGGUUUUGGUGUGGUUCUGUAGUUCAAGCCCCGCAUCAGGCUCCAUGCUGACCAUGAAGAGCCUACUUGGGAUUCUCUCUCUCUGUCUCUCUCUCUCUGCCCCUCUCGUGAGCUCUCACACUCUCUC